AUCUGAACGAGUUAAGAGAAAGCUGCUU
rnacentral:piRNA from 1 species